CACGUGAGGCCACAAUUUGCUCAACCUUCUCCAGGCAUUAGAUAGCAAAAAUGAUAAUUUUGCUUCAUCUUGUUUUCUUUUCAGCUGUUUUUAGAGGUAAAUCCAUCUUUUUUAAAAAAAGAAAAAAUAAGAAUUGGGCAGCCUGACUGCUAAUAAUAUGCAGAAGAGCUCAUUUAUAUCUUUUUCUUUCUAGGCAUCCAAUCGGAGGUCCAGCUGGUAGAGUCUGGAGGGGAUGUAAAAAAGCCUGGAGAGUCCCUCCGCCUUACCUGUCGAGCUUCCGGGUUCACCUUUAGCAGCUAUUACAUGGCGUGGGUCAGACAAGCUCCAGGAAAGGGCCUGGAAUGGGUGGCCUAUAUAGGUACAUAUUCAUCUCCCAUUUACUACUUGGAUUCCAUCAAAGGAAGAUUCACCAUUUCCAGGGAUGAUUCAAACAGCCAGCUGUAUUUGCAAAUGAACAACCUUAAACCUGAGGACACAGCCGUGUAUUACUGUGCAAGAGAC